rnacentral:rRNA from 1 species
AUACGGAGGGUGCGAGCGUUGUUCGGAAUUGUUGGGCGUAAAGAGCAUGUAGGCGGUCUGUUGAGUCUGGUGUGAAAGCCCGGGGCUCAACCCCGGAGGUGCAUUGGAUACUGGCAGACUUGAGUAUGGGAGAGGAAAGCGGAAUUCCGAGUGUAGGAGUGAAAUCCGUAGAUAUUCGGAGGAACACCAGUGGCGAAGGCGGCUUUCUGGACCAAUACUGACGCUGAGAUGCGAAAGCGUGGGGAGCAAACAGGAUUAGAAACCCGGGUAGUCC